GCUUUUUCUCCUAAUCUACACAUUUGCUAGCACAAUGUAUAGAUGGGAUUAUUUUUGUAUUUGUUUCCUUUUGGUAUUUAUUUGUGUUUAGUUGAGUCAGUGGUAACAUUUUCCUCAUGUUUUGUGGGUUUAGGCUUAUUAGGUAGGUGUUUUGUCAGUUUAAUGACAAAGAGUCUUGGUGGGAUGAAUUACCCUGGGAAGAUAAAUAAAUGUGCCUCUUGUAUGCUGGAGCUGGAAUUGUCACCCUGUGACCACCGCUUGCAGUCCGCAAAAAGAUCAAGAAAGAAAGUGAAGAUAUCAUGAGAAAUCAUAAGUGAUUAUCCUGUACCUAUCCAGUGUUUAUCCAAGCCUGUGACGGCACCU